rnacentral:rRNA from 1 species
CGAACGCUGGCGGCAGGCCUAAUACAUGCAAGUCGAACGGCUCUUCGGAGCAGUGGCGGACGGGUGAGUAACGCGUGGGAAUGUGCCCUUUGGUACGGAACAACACAGGGAAACUUGUGCUAAUACCGUAUGUGCCCUUCGGGGAAAGAUUUAUCGCCAUUGGAGCAGCCCGCGUUGGAUUAGGUAGUUGGUGAGGUAAAGGCUCACCAAGCCUACGAUCCAUAGCUGGUCUGAGAGGAUGACCAGCCACACUGGGACUGAGACACGGCCCAGACUCCUACGGGAGGCAGCAGUAGGGAAUAUUGCGCAAUGGGCGAAAGCCUGACGCAGCCAUGCCGCGUGGAUGAUGAAGGUCUUAGGAUUGUAAAAUACUUUCACCGGGGAAGAUAAUGACGGUACCCGGAGAAGAAGCCCCGGCUAACUUCGUGCCAGCCGCCGCCGUAAGAC